UACGUAGGUCCCGAGCGUUAUCCGGAAUUACUGGGCGUAAAGCGUUCGUAGGCGGACCGUUAGGUUCGGCAUGAAAGACCGGGGCUCAACCCCGUGUUUGUGUCGAAUACCGGCGGUCUUGAAUCCGGGAGAGGUAAGCAGAAUGGUACGAGUAGGGGUGCAAUCCGUUGAUACGUACUGGAAUACCAAAAGCGAAGGCAGCUUACUGGAACGGCAUUGACGCUGAGGAACGAAAGCGUGGGGAGCGAAAAGG
rnacentral:rRNA from 1 species